rnacentral:tRNA from 1 species
AAGCUCUUAGUUGAAUUACAAUAGAAAAUUGCAAGUUUUCAGGUCUAGGGUUUU